ensembl:lncRNA
CAAGCACCAUUUGGUAACACUGAAGGUUGGGGACCAGCUGCUGAAUCCCAUUGCAGAGCUCACUGUAGAGCUGGUGGAUUAUUCCUGAGGAUGUGUUCAAGCCCCUGUUACAAUUCCUAGUUCCACGGUUAUAACGCAAAUUGCAGACGUAAGAGAAGAUGUGUUAAGAUAUCAUCUCUAUUAUGGAUAAAAAUGAAGUUUCUACGAGUUUUCACACUCAUCAGAACGACGAGGAGAUAAUCAGGUGUUUCUCCUGCAGCUUCUAAACAACAAUUCAAUGUUGUCAGCCCAAAAGCAAUCUCAAAGAAUU